rnacentral:rRNA from 1 species
UGCCUCCUACGGGGCGCAGCAGUGAGUAAUAUUGGUCAAUGGUCGGGAGACUGAACCAGCCAAGCCGCGUGAGGGAUGAAGGUACAGAGUAUCGUAAACCUCUUUUGUCAGGGAACAAAGGCGGGGAUGCGUCCCCGGAUGAGUGUACCUGAAGAAAAAGCAUCGGCUAACUCCGUGCCAGCAGCCGCGGUAAUACGGAGGAUGCGAGCGUUAUCCGGAUUUAUUGGGUUUAAAGGGUGCGCAGGCGGUCUGUUAAGUCAGCGGUCAAAGCCCGGGGCUCAACCCCGGUCCGCCGUUGAAACUGG